rnacentral:rRNA from 1 species
UACGGAGGGAGCUAGCGUUAUUCGGAAUUACUGGGCGUAAAGCGCACGUAGGCGGCUUCUUAAGUCGGUGGUGAAAUCCUGGAGCUCAACUCCAGAACUGCCUUCGAUACUGGGAGCUCGAGUCCGGGAGAGGUGAGUGGAACUGCGAGUGUAGAGGUGAAAUUCGUAGAUAUUCGCAAGAACACCAGUGGCGAAGGCGGCUCACUGGCCCGGUACUGACGCUGAGGUGCGAAAGCGUGGGGAGCAAACAGG